AAGCGUGCAUGUGUGUUUUAACCGCGAGUCUUGCUUUCAGAGCUACCCAGUCCCCGGUCCCCUCCCUCUUUGUGCCUCCCCCCCGGCAACUGCGAAGUGGUUGUGCCCGAAGGCCCCGCCUCCAGAGCUCAGCAGCGCGCCGCAGGUCACGCUUUCCGCCUCUUCUGCAGCGGCUCCUUGUUCCUUAGCGGAAGUUUCUCCUUGCGGUCUGGGCUGCAGAGCGAGGGCCUCCAUUGUCCGGUUUCGCUCAGUACCCCGCAAGUCGCUCCGUUCCCCGCCAGGCUCCAGGCGCCAUGGCUUCCCGCGGGAGGAAGCGAAAGGCCGAGGCGGCGGUGGUGGCGGCGGCCGAGAAGCGAGAGAAGUCGGCUGGCGGCCAGGCGGCAGUGGAGGAGGCGGUCAUCGUCAUCGAGCAUUGCACGAGCUGACGCGUCUACGGACGCAACGCCGCGGCCCUGAGCCAGGCGCUGCGCCUGGAGGCCCCUGAGCUUUCAGUGAAGGUGAACCCCGCCAAACCUCGGAGGGGCAGCUUCGAGGUGACGCUGCAGCGCCCGGACGGCAGCAGUGCGGAGCUCUGGACUGGCAUUAAGAAGGGGCCCCCACGCAAACUCAAAUUCCCCGAGCCUCAGGAGGUGGUGGAGGAGCUGAAGAAGUACCUUUCAUAGGGAGGUUUGGGUGGAAGUCCUCAAGCUGAGGUUUGAAAUGGGGAACGAGGACGGGGGUGUUGAUGGUAGGGCUACUUGCAAAGCAGCCCUUACUGUUAAAGCUCAUUCCACACGGGGAUUUGCAUUUUCAUAACUUUUACUUGAUCUCAGGAUUUCCUCUAUUGGGAAUGUCUCUUCCCCUUUUUACUGGCAGGAAAAAAAUUGAAAUGGGCAAAAAACUACUGUUUCCUGUGCCCUACUACAGCAGGUUAACUCCAUCUUUCAUUUUUUCAGCCAAGUUGUAGACUAAUGGUAAUGUAAAUGAUUCUUUGUAGAAGUGCAAUUUAUGCCCGUUGGUGAUGCAGUUGUUGCUCUGUGGAUAUGGACCAGUUCUGCAUUUAUUUGAAAAUUUCCACAUUUAUGAUGGUGUUUUAUAUUUAUUAAUUCCCAUACACAUUAGGUUCUUAUUAAAGUCCUUUCACUACCACUUGCUAGUAUUCCACUACUAACACUGCUUUACCGUCUGAAACAUUUGACGUGUGUUUUUGUUUGUAUGAGUAGUAAUUUUCCCCUUUUACUGGCAGAAAUCUUUUGUGUUACUUCACAUAUGCUUGGAGCCCUGGUGGUGCAAUGGUUAAGUGUUCCACUGCUAACCAAAAGGUCAGCAGUUAAAUCCACCAGCUGCUCCUUGGGGGCAGUUCUACUCUGUCCUUUAGGGUCCCUAUGAAUUGGAAUCGACUCGAGGGCAACAGCCUCUGUCCCUGGUGAUGUUGGAGCAUUUAUGACGGAACAUGGCCAAAUAUCAGUCAUGUGCCUGAAGCCACGGUUUCUUCCCCUCCAGAAAUAAUGGUUCAGUUGUGAGGCAAACCUCUAGUAAGGCAUUGCAAAAGUUUUUGGAUUUGCUUUUUUUAAUAAAAGUUCUUGAUAUAAAGUA